GAGCAGCGAGGCGCCCAGAGAGCCCUCGAGCGAGAACCCCGCUGUCGUCUCCCUCAGAAGCAGCCGCCCGCCGAAUCAAAUCGCGCUGCCAGCCUCGUCCGCCUCGCCGUGCCUGCGUCCCUCCCCGGACGUCGGCGACGAUGGAGGGAUCCACUGGCGCUGGCCAGGCCCCCGGCCGAUGGACGCGCCGGAUCGUCGCUCCUCUGGGCCAGCCCCUCCCGCCGCGCUGGAUCACGUGGCAGCCUAGCUUGUCAGAGAUGGCAAAGCUGUUAUAUACAGGGUACGGCUCCGAGCUAGCCGAUGCCUACUGUAUCCAGUGUUCUGUUGCAUCCGGUGCGACCUCAAAGAAUACCUUCUUCUAGCUGGGCGUUGAGCGCCUCAGGGACGACGAGGUGCAGCGCCUGGGGUGGAAGCAGUUCAACUACACGAUGAAGAAGUGAGUGAAGGGGUUAAGACGGUUGUGUUGUGCGUGCGCUGCUUGCUUGCUGCUGUUGCAUAUAGCUUGUGGCUGUGGUUGUCCAGCCGGGUUAUCUCUGGCUGCAGAAUCAUCAAAGAAAGGAUCCACUGCUGGUCUCAUUGGCCUUGAUCUUCCAUUCACAAGCAAUUAAUGUUUAUGGGAGCACGAAUUCAAAGUAGCACAUUUUCGCGGCUGUGAAAUGCAGCAACAUGUUUGGAUAGCUGACCAAAAAGGAUCUCACUGAAAAACUGAAAUAUUUAAGUAACACGUCAACGACGGCUGCGUCCUGCGUGUUGGGAAGGCGGCGGCGACGGAUGGUGUGCAGGAUGCGGCCUUUUUUGUGUAUAGCUCUCUAAACUUGACAGUUGAGUUUCUUUUUGGUCAUGUUAAAACUGAGUUUCUGUUAGUUCAGUUUGCACAAGCGGCCAUAGUGCGGACCAUCAGGAGACAGGGGCACACAAGCACCAGCACGGCAGCACCACCAUCAGAACACACCAGACGGCUCGCAUAGGGAAUACUUCAAGAUGGACACUGGUGGUACAACAUGGCUUACUAUCAUCUGUUUACACAUGGCUAAUUUGACGGAAUAGCUUUGGCCAUCUUUGAUAUAUGUUACUCCUACUACAGAUUUCGCUCCCUCGUCUCCAAGAAAUUCCCUACUAGCUACACUUGACAUGAGAGUCCAAUUUGAAUUCCCAAUGAGAGGAAAGCUAUGAUUCGUUCGCUCCACUUUUAGCUUUGUAUCUCCUCCUGAAGACAUCCUCCCUGAACUACUUGAUUUCAGCCAUCAGGUCCAGGCUUCUACUGAAUGGUGUCCUCUGUCUCCAGCGCCCAUUUCCGCUUAGCGAGUUGUUGGAUUGCAUCCUACUUCUUAUUUUCCUCCUGCACACCGUCUCCCUUUGUGUCGUCAAUCACGUACUAUAACAUUUGACAAAUAGUAUGUGUUGUGUUGGUGUCAGCAUGCCAGCACUACAUGAAUGAUCCCACUGCUGCAGACUUCAGCCAAUACUGGCCGGCUAUGUUUACAAACAGAAAUGAAUUAUUCAGAGAAGAGGAGCAGACGUGCUGCAAAAUUUACCUCAAGGUGGUGAAUCAGCAAAUCGAGGGACUUAUUUUUUGGUGGGGCCAGCAGGGUAUCCCAUUACCUUAAUUUCCUCUUCAGUGUGCUGACUCCGAUCUCCAGAGUCAUGGUUGCUUCUUUCUUAGUCUGUUUAAAUCGGUUAUUUCUUUCAAUAUGCACUCUCACAAUCAUAUACUUUUUCUGUUCUUGAUG